CCCUGUUGUGAUGACGCAAGAGUUGCAACUACGGUAGCUGAGAGGCCAUUCUUUGUGUUCUUUUUUAAAUGUUUCUGAAGCCUGAUGAAAUCGUUAUAAAUGUGUGUUUAAUACUGUAAAAUACCCUCGAUGUUACAGUCACUGACCUUGCCGUCUAGAAUGAAAGACAACAUUCCAACUUGAACCCAUUGAGAGAGCUGUCUCUUUACUGUCGCGUGGUUUUAUACAUCUUGCCGCUGAUUGGGCUGACAUUUCUGACACACCCACCAAACAAGAGAAAACGCUUCUAAAACCUGUUGCAUUCCGUUGCACAUCGUUUCAAGGAAACAUGUCGUUCAACCCGGAAACCGUAGCAAAACGUUGUGCACCGGUGUGAGAUUGAACGUGCCCCUGUAGUUGUUCAGUGAGUUCAGUUCACGAGGUGCAUGUGGUUGCUUGCGUUAAACGUAUAAACUGUUAAAUUAGAUGGCGACUCUGCAUUAAACGUAUUUAUUUAAUUAAUCGGCGAUCGUAUUUCACCAGAGGACUAAGAUAAAACAACUCGAUUUAAAAUAUGAGCAGUUUUAGUGGAUCUGACGUCGAGGGAAAAAGUAUUUCGCUUUUUGUUUGGAGAUGAACGAGACAACACGAGGCACAGCGACAUAAAUAUGACCAACCAGAUCCCAAGUAGACAGGAACAAAUGAAGAUAUAGCGCAUAGAAAGACUUAUUCUUGGUGAUCAACUGCUAUUGACAUUUUUGAAUUGGGACAAUUGUGGAGUGAUUCGGAAGAAAAACGUUUGCAACACAUCCAUUCCAGACUGCUCUGACAGAUAAAACUGACACACUUGAUGAGGACACAGUCAAAGCUUUAAAAGACCGUGUGAUAAAGCAGUCUUCAAUUACUACGGUGUCUGAAUUGCAAGAAGAAAUGACCCUCCACUUAAACAUGUGACAUCUAAACUGUUUUGUGUUUUAGUUCAGCUUUUUAUAGGUUUAUCUUAAGUUGGUUAAAGGCGGAGUGCACUAUUUUUGAAAGCCAAUGUUAACAUUUGAAAUUACCUAAACAAACAUGCCUCUACCCCAAUAGAAUCUGGACCUUCUUUUGAUAGAGCCACCACACACAUACGCAACCCCGGCAAGGAUGUCGGUUAGUAGACACACCCCUUACUGCUGGUUGGCUACAAGUGUGUUUUGGUAGUCGGCCCAAUUUCCUUUUCCAAAGCGUUUUUCAAACAUUGUGCACUCAGUCUUUAAAUUGCACUUAAAACAUUUUUUUUCAGUAACUUUUUAUGCAGAGAAUUACAUUAUGAUUAUUAUAUAAUCAUUGCUUAUGAAUAUUUAGUGAUUGCAUAUUCAUAGUGUACUUUUCAUUAAUACAUUUAAUGUUAAUGUUGUACAAUUUGAUAGAAGUAGCUCUGUAAUUGCAUUUCUCUGAUAUUUGUUUUAUAUGUUUCUCUUUGGUCAAGAGAUUAUGUAUGUCUCUGUGCUUG